AGGAUAAUAGUUAAAUUUAACGUUUAAUUUGCAUUUAAAAAAUAUUGUAUAAUCAAUUUAUCUU
rnacentral:tRNA from 1 species